UUGUUGCCUGCUUGUAAUCUCCUGG
rnacentral:piRNA from 1 species